GACGAACGCUGGCGGCGUGCUUAACACAUGCAAGUCGAGCGGAAAGGCCACUUCGGUGGUACUCGAGCGGCGAACGGGUGAGUAACACGUGAGUAAUCUGCCCCUCACUUUGGGAUAGCCACCGGAAACGGUGAUUAAUACCGGAUAUGACCAUAUGUCGCAUGGCGUGUGGUGGAAAGUUUUUCGGUGAGGGAUGUGCUCGCGGCCUAUCAGCUUGAUGGUGAGGUAAUGGCUCACCAUGGCUUCGACGGGUAGCCGGCCUGAGAGGGUGACCGGUCACACGGGGACUGAGACACGGCCCAGACUCCUACGGGAGGCAGCAGUGGGGAAUAUUGGACAAUGGGCGGAAGCCUGAUCCAGCAACGCCGCGUGAGGGAUGACGGCCUUCGGGUUGUAAACCUCUUUCAGUACCGACGAAGCGCAAGUGACGGUAGGUACAGAAGAAGCACCGGCCAACUACGUG
rnacentral:rRNA from 1 species